rnacentral:rRNA from 1 species
GAUGAACGCUGACAGAAUGCUUAACACAUGCAAGUCUACUUGAACUUCGGUUUGGGUGGCGGACGGGUGAGUAACGCGUAAAGAACUUGCCUCACAGUUAGGGACAACAUUUGGAAACGAAUGCUAAUACCUGAUAUUAUGAUUUUAGGGCAUCCUAAGAUUAUGAAAGCUAUAUGCGCUGUGAGAGAGCUUUGCGUCCCAUUAGCUAGUUGGAGAGGUAACGGCUCACCAAGGCGAUGAUGGGUAGCCGGCCUGAGAGGGUGAACGGCCACAAGGGGACUGAGACACGGCCCUUACUCCUACGGGAGGCAGCAGUGGGGAAUAUUGGACAAUGGACCAAAAGUCUGAUCCAGCAAUUCUGUGUGCACGAUGACGUUUUUCGGAAUGUAAAGUGCUUUCAGUUGGGAAGAAAAAAUGACGGUACCAACAGAAGAAGUGACGGCUAAAUACGUGCCAGCAGCCGCGGUAAUACGUAUGUCACAAGCGUUAUCCGGAUUUAUUGGGCGUAAAGCGCGUCUAGGUGGUUAUGUAAGUCUGAUGUGAAAAUGCAGGGCUCAACUCUGUAUUGCGUUGGGAACUGCAUGACUAGAGUACUGGAGAGGUAAGCGGAACUACNAGUGUAGAGGUGAAAUUCGUAGAUAUUUGUANGAAUGNCGAUGGGGAAGCCANCUUACUGGACAGAUACUGACGCUAAAGCGCGAAAGCNNNNNUAGCANACAGG